CCCCCCCCGCCCCGUGCUGGUUCUGGAGAUAAAGGCAAAGUGCAUCCAGACGUAUACCCUGUGUCACUUCACUGUUCAGCGCGCGGAUUUCUUGUCAACCUCAGCUACUGAGGUCACAUCCUCUGUCGGUGUUGGAAUAAGAAUUUCAAGUAAGACGGAUUGAUGCCUGCGUGCUGGUGGGAUUUCAUUUGGGAGAUCACAGAUGGCCUUCAGCUUUGAGGAUCAAAUUGAACCAUGAUUCUAAAUGAGAAAUAGAAGGAAAAUGCUGUAGGAGAUUAAAAGCCUUGUCAUUGAGGAGCCAAAGUAUUGGCGGGAUGUUAUCUCUAUCUGCAGAAACCUUCAUGGGCGUGAGGGGGGGAAAAGG